CAGUCGAGCGAUGAAGCACCUUCGGGUGUGGAUUAGCGGCGAACGGGUGAGGAACACGUGAGGAAUCUGCCUUCCACUCUGGGAUAACUCCGGGAAACCGGGGCUAAUACCGGAUACUUUCAACUGGCGGCAUCGCCGGUUGAAGAAAGUUUUUCGGUGGAAGAUGACCUCGCGGCCUAUCAGCUUGUUGGUGAGGUAAUGGCUCACCAAGGCAACGACGGGUAGCCGGCCUGAGAGGGCGACCGGCCACACUGGGACUGAGACACGGCCCAGACUCCUACGGGAGGCAGCAGUGGGGAAUAUUGGGCAAUGGAGGAAACUCUGACCCAGCGACGCCGCGUGAGGGAUGAAGGCCUUCGGGUUGUAAACCUCUUUCAGCAGGGAAUAAGCGAAAGUGAAGGUACCUGCAGAAGAAGCACCGGCUAACUAUGUGCCAGCAGCCGCGGUAAUACAUAGGGUGCAAGCGUUGUCCGGAAUUAUUGGGCGUAAAGAGCUCGUAGGUGGUCGAUCACGUCGGAUGUGAAAUUCUGAGGCUUAACCUCGGACCUGCAUUCGAUACGGGUUGACUAGAGUGUGGUAGGGGAGACUGGAAUUCCUGGUGUAGCGGUGGAAUGCGCAGAUAUCAGGAGGAACACCGAUGGCGAAGGCAGGUCUCUGGGCCAUUACUGACACUGAGGAGCGAAAGCGUGGGGAGCGAACAGGAUUAGAUACCCUGGUAGUCCACGCCGUAAACGGUGGGCGCUAGUUGUGGGAACCUUCCACGGUUUCUGCGACGCAGCUAACGCAUUAAGCGCCCCGCCUGGGGAGUACGGUCGCAAGACUAAAACUCAAAGAAAUUGACGGG
rnacentral:rRNA from 1 species